GUGCCAGCACCCGGUAAUUACGUAGGUGGCAAGCGUUGCCGAUUUAUUGGGCGUAAAGCGAGCGCAGGCGGUUUCUUAAGUCUGAUGUGAAAGCCUUCGGCUCAACCGAAGAAGUGCAUCGGAAACUGGGAAACUUGAGUGCAGAAGAGGACAGUGGAACUCCAUGUGUAGCGGUGAAAUGCGUAGAUAUAUGGAAGAACACCAGUGGCGAAGGCGGCUGUCUGGUCUGUAACUGACGCUGAGGCUCGAAAGCAUGGGUAGCAAACAGGAUUAGAUACCCUGGUAGUCC
rnacentral:rRNA from 1 species